AUUUAUAUAGUUUAAUCAUAAAACAUUAUAUUUUCAAUAUAAAAAAAAUUUAUAAUUUAUAAAUA
rnacentral:tRNA from 1 species